CAGACUGUUCCUCUAUAAACCAGGCUGUUCUAAAUGUGUCUGUUCCUCUAUAAACCAGGCUGUUCUAAAUGUGUCUGUUCCUCUAUAAACCAGACUGUUCCUCUAUAAACCAGACUGUUCUAAAUGUGUCUGUUCCUCUAUAAACCAGGCUGUUCUAAAUGAGUCUGUUCCUCUAUAAACCAGGCUGUUCCUCUAUAAACCAGACUGUUCUAAAUGUGUUUGUUCCUCUAUAAUCCAGGCUGUUAUUAAAUGUGUCUGUUCCUCUAUAAACCAGGCUGUUCUUCUAUAAACCAGUCUGUUCUAAAUGUGUCUGUUCCUCUAUAAACCAGACUGUUCUAAAUGUGUCUGUUCCUCUAUAAACCAGGCUGUUCUAAAUGUGUCUGUUCCUCUAUAAACCAGGCUGUUAUUAAAUGUGUCUGUUCCUCUAUAAACCAGGCUGUUCCUCUAUAAACCAGACUGUUCUUAAAUGUGUCUGUUCCUCUAUAAACCAGGCUGUACCUCUAUAAACCAGACUGUUCUAAAUGUGUCUGUUCCUCUAUAAACCAGGCUGUUCCUCUAU
rnacentral:lncRNA from 1 species